rnacentral:rRNA from 1 species
AUUGAACGCUGGCGGCAUGCCUUACACAUGCAAGUCGAACGGCAGCACGGGUGCUUGCACCUGGUGGCGAGUGGCGAACGGGUGAGUAAUACAUCGGAACAUGCCCUGUAGUGGGGGAUAGCCCGGCGAAAGCCGGAUUAAUACCGCAUACGAUCUACGGAUGAAAGCGGGGGACCUUCGGGCCUCGCGCUAUAGGGCUGGCCGAUGGCUGAUUAGCUAGUUGGUGGGGUAAAGGCCUACCAAGGCGACGAUCAGUAGCUGGUCUGAGAGGACGACCAGCCACACUGGGACUGAGACACGGCCCAGACUCCUACGGGAGGCAGCAGUGGGGAAUUUUGGACAAUGGGCGAAAGCCUGAUCCAGCAAUGCCGCGUGUGUGAAGAAGGCCUUCGGGUUGUAAAGCACUUUUGUCCGGAAAGAAAUCCUUGGCCCUAAUACGGUCGGGGGAUGACGGUACCGGAAGAAUAAGCACCGGCUAACUACGUG